rnacentral:rRNA from 1 species
CCCCUAGAUGUUCUGGGCCGCACGCGCGCUACACUGAUGCAUGCAACGAGUUCUAUCCUUGGCCGGAAGGCCUGGGUAAUCUGUGAACGUGCAUCGUGAUAGGGAUAGAUUAUUGCAAUUAUUAAUCUUGAACGAGGAAUUCCUAGUAAACGCAAGUCAUCAGCUUGCAUUGAUUACGUCCCUGCCCUUUGUACACACCGCCCGUCGCACCUACCGAUCGAAGGUAAUGAUGAGCCCUCAGGAUUGUGGCCUCGUCGCGUCAGCGUCUUGGCUGCGAGAAUCUGUGCAAAUCCCUACCUUUAGAGGAAGGUGAAGUCGUANCA